rnacentral:rRNA from 1 species
UUGGACAAUGGUCGCAAGACUGAUCCAGCCAUGCCGCGUGCAGGAAGACGGCCCUAUGGGUUGUAAACUGCUUUUGUACCAGAGAAAACCUAUCUACGUGUAGAUAGCUGAUAGUAUGGUAAGAAUAAGCAUCGGCUAACUUCGUGCCAGCAGCCGCGGUAAGACGAAGGAUGCAAGCGUUAUCCGGAUUCAUUGGGUUUAAAGGGUGCGUAGGCGGGCUUGUAAGUCAGUGGUGAAAUCUCUCAGCUUAACUGAGAAACUGCCAUUGAUACUGCAGGCCUAGAGUAUAGAUGACGUUGGCGGAAUAUGACAUGUAGUGGUGAAAUACUUAGAUAUGUCAUAGAACACCGAUUGCGAAGGCAGCUAACGAAACUAUAACUGACGCUGAGGCACGAAAGUGCGGGGA